UGAUGUAUCUUCCAAGCUCAGUGUAGU
rnacentral:piRNA from 1 species